rnacentral:rRNA from 1 species
AUUGAACGCUGGCGGCAUGCCUUACACAUGCAAGUCGAACGGUAACAGGUUAAGCUGACGAGUGGCGAACGGGUGAGUAAUGUAUCGGAACGUGCCCAGUCGUGGGGGAUAACUGCUCGAAAGAGCAGCUAAUACCGCAUACGACCUGAGGGUGAAAGCGGGGGAUCGCAAGACCUCGCGCGAUUGGAGCGGCCGAUAUCAGAUUAGGUAGUUGGUGAGGUAAAGGCUCACCAAGCCGACGAUCUGUAGCUGGUCUGAGAGGACGACCAGCCACACUGGGACUGAGACACGGCCCAGACUCCUACUCGAGGCAGCAGUGGGGAAUUUUGGACAAUGGGCGCAAGCCUGAUCCAGCCAUGCCGCGUGCGGGAAGAAGGCCUUCGGGUUGUAAACCGCUUUUGUCAGGGAAGAAAAGGUUCUGGCUAAUACCUGGGACUCAUGACGGUACCUGAAGAAUAAGCACCGGCUAACUACGUG